rnacentral:rRNA from 1 species
AAGACCUUGCGCUUUUGGAGCGGCCGAUGCCUGAUUAGCUUGUUGGUAAGGUAAAAGCUUACCAAGGCUUCGAUCAGUAGCUGGUCUGAGAGGACGACCAGCCACACUGGGACUGAGACACGGCCCAGACUCCUACGGGAGGCAGCAGUGGGGAAUUUUGGACAAUGGGGGCAACCCUGAUCCAGCCAUGCCGCGUGAGUGAAGAAGGCCUUCGGGUUGUAAAGCUCUUUCAGCCGGAACGAAACGGUUACGGAUAAUACCCGUGACUACUGACGGUACCGGAAGAAGAAGCACCGGCUAACUACGUGCCAGCAGCCGCGGUAAUACGUAGGGUGCAAGCGUUAAUCGGAAUUACUGGGCGUAAAGCGUGCGCAGGUGGUUUUGUAAGUCAGAUGUGAAAGCCCCGGGCUCAACCUGGGAACU